GCCGGGGUGGUGAAAUUGGUAGACACGCUAGCUUCAGGAGCUAGUUCUCGCAAGGGAAUGGAGGUUCGAGUCCUCUCCCCGGCACAA
rnacentral:tRNA from 1 species